rnacentral:misc_RNA from 1 species
UUUCGUAGGUGAACUGCGGAAGGAUCAUUAAAAUGUGGUACAUUUGUUGUACUAAUUAAUCAUCCUACCCUUUGUGAAUUUGUUUGUAAUGAAUUUUUUUAAAUGGGUCUUUCCCUAAGUUGGAUUGUAGUGAAAUACAAAGACUUAGGGGAAUGACUUUUUUAAAAGACUUUUUUUUAAAUUAAACUUUUGUAUUCAUUUGUCUAAAAUUUAUUUUUAUAAUAUAAAAACAACUUUUGACAAUGGAUCUCUUGGUUCUCGCAACGAUGAAGAACGCAGCAAAAUGCGAUAAGUAGUGUGAAUUGCAGAAUACGUGAAUCAUCGAAUCUUCGAACGCAUAUUGCACUCUUUUAGUUUACUAAAAAGUAUGUCUGUUUGAGUAUCAGUAAAAUAUUCUCACAAACAUAUAUUGUUUGUGGUUAUGAGUGUUUUACAACGAUAAACAAGUUGUUUCACUUUAAUUCUUUUUGUAAUUUUACUACAUUUACAAAUUAAAAUUGGAUAAAUUUUCCUUAACGAGGAAUAACCUAAACAAUUUUAAUUUUUUGGUUCGUAAAUCCCAUGAAGGAAUCUAUACAUAAAUAACUUGAUCUCAAAUCAGAUAAGAGUACCCGCUGAACUUAAGCAUAUCAAUAAGCGGAGGAAAAGAAACUAACAAGGAUUCCCUUAGUAACGGCGAGUGAAGCGGGAAGAGCUCAAAUUUGAAAUCUUCAAGGUUUGACCUUGACGAAUUGUAGUUUAUAGAAGUGUUUCUGUUGAGUUUUGGUAAAAGUUCUUUGGAAUAGACAUCAUAGAGGGUGAGAAUCCCGUAUUUGACCAUGACUUUCCAGCUGUGUGAUACCUUUCAAAGAGUCGGAUUGUUUGGGAAUGCAGUCCAAAUGGGUGGUAAAUUUCAUCUAAAGCUAAAUAUUGGCGAGAGACCGAUAGCGAACAAGUACCGUGAGGGAAAGAUGAAAAGAACUUUGAAAAGAGAGUUAAACAGUACGUGAAAUUGUCAAAGGAAGCGUUUGACACCAGUGUUGUUUCUCGAAAAUCAAUUUAAUGAGUUCUGUUUUAAGUUAUUGUGACUUUAUCAGCGCAUUUCUUAUUUUACUUGACUCAUUGAAUGCACUUUUCGUUUAACAAGUCAACAUCAAUUUCUUUUGGUGGUAAAAGUUAAAGGAAGGUGGCUUGACUUCGGUUCAAGUGUUUAUAGCCUUUUUCUAUGCAUCGGAGAGAUUGAGGUCUGCAGCGUAGAUCCUUCGGGUUAGAUACCUUUGUGCUAAGUUAUAGUUUUUAUAGACAACUUGUUGACUAUAAUUAACCCUGUAAUUUACUCGCUUAGGCUAUUU